GAUGAACGCUGGCGGCAUGCCUAACACAUGCAAGUCGAACGAACAGACGAGGAUCUUGCUCCUCUGGCGUUAGCAGCGGACGGGUGAGUAACACGGGGAUGACAUAACUAUAAGAAAGGGAUAACUACGGCAAACCGGAGCUAAUACCGGAAGAUAUAUUGAACCGCAAGGGUCAAUAGUGUAAGAAGGUUUUGCGGUCACUUAAAGAUGGAUCCGCGCCGCAUUAGCUAGGUGGUAAGGUAACGGCUUACCAAGGCAACGAUGCGUAGCCGACCCCAGAGGGUGGUCGGCCACACUGGCAGUGAGGCACGGUCGACACUCCGACGGGGAGCCGCAGUCGGGACUCUUCCGCGAUGGGCGAGAGGCUGACCGAGCAACGUCGGGUGAAUGAUGACGGUCCUCUGAUGGUAAAACUCUGUUAUUAGUGGAGAUCAAAUGUUUUUUCAACGGUGCACGUCAUGACGGUACCUGGAGAAAAAGCCACGGCUAACUACGUG
rnacentral:rRNA from 1 species